GACGAACGCUGGCGGCGUGCUUAACACAUGCAGGUCGUACGGUAAGGCCCUUUCGGGGGUCCACGAGUGGCGAACGGGUGAGUAACACGUGAGUAACCUGCCCACAACUUUGGGAUAACGCUAGGAAACUGGUGCUAAUACUGGAUAUGUUCUCCUGCUGCAUGGUGGGGGUUGGAAAGCUCCGGCGGUUGUGGAUGGACUCGCGGCCUAUCAGCUUGUUGGUGGGGUAGUGGCCUACCAAGGCGGCGACGGGUAGCCGGCCUGAGAGGGUGACCGGCCACAUUGGGACUGAGAUACGGCCCAGACUCCUACGGGAGGCAGCAGUGGGGAAUAUUGCACAAUGGGCGCAAGCCUGAUGCAGCAACGCCGCGUGCGGGAUGACGGCCUUCGGGUUGUAAACCGCUUUCAGCAGGGACGAAGCUUUUUGUGACGGUACCUGCAGAAGAAGCACCGGCUAACUACGUG
rnacentral:rRNA from 1 species